rnacentral:rRNA from 1 species
GCAAGUCGAGCGGACAGAAGGGAGCUUGCUCCCGGAUGUUAGCGGCGGACGGGUGAGUAACACGUGGGUAACCUGCCUGUAAGACUGGGAUAACUCCGGGAAACCGGAGCUAAUACCGGAUAGUUCCUUGAACCGCAUGGUUCAAGGAUGAAAGACGGUUUCGGCUGUCACUUACAGAUGGACCCGCGGCGCAUUAGCUAGUUGGUGAGGUAACGGCUCACCAAGGCGACGAUGCGUAGCCGACCUGAGAGGGUGAUCGGCCACACUGGGACUGAGACACGGCCCAGACUCCUACGGGAGGCAGCAGUAGGGAAUCUUCCGCAAUGGACGAAAGUCUGACGGAGCAACGCCGCGUGAGUGAUGAAGGUUUUCGGAUCGUAAAGCUCUGUUGUUAGGGAAGAACAAGUGCAAGAGUAACUGCUUGCACCUUGACGGUACCUAACCAGAAAGCCACGGCUAACUACGUGCCAGCAGCCGCGGUAAUACGUAGGUGGCAAGCGUUGUCCGGAAUUAUUGGGCGUAAAGGGCUCGCAGGCGGUUUCUUAAGUCUGAUGUGAAAGCCCCCGGCUCAACCGGGGAGGGUCAUUGGAAACUGGGAAACUUGAGUGCAGAAGAGGAGAGUGGAAUUCCACGUGUAGCGGUGAAAUGCGUAGAGAUGUGGAGGAACACCAGUGGCGAAGGCGACUCUCUGGUCUGUAACUGACGCUGAGGAGCGAAAGCGUGGGGAGCGAACAGGAUUAGAUACCUUGGUAGUCCAA